rnacentral:rRNA from 1 species
GAUGAACGCUGGCGGCGUGCCUAAUACAUGCAAGUCGAGCGAACAGACGAGGAGCUUGCUCCUCUGACGUUAGCGGCGGACGGGUGAGUAACACGUGGAUAACCUACCUAUAAGACUGGGAUAACUUCGGGAAACCGGAGCUAAUACCGGAUAAUAUAUUGAACCGCAUGGUUCAAUAGUGAAAGACGGUUUUGCUGUCACUUAUAGAUGGAUCCGCGCCGCAUUAGCUAGUUGGUAAGGUAACGGCUUACCAAGGCAACGAUGCGUAGCCGACCUGAGAGGGUGAUCGGCCACACUGGAACUGAGCCACGGUCCAGACUCCUACGGGAGGAAGCAGUAGGGAAUCUUCCGCAAUGGGCGAAAGCUUGACGGAGCAACGCCGCGUGAGUGAUGAAGGUCUUCGGAUCGUAAAACUCUGUUAUUAGGGAAGAACAAAUGUGUAAGUAACUAUGCACGUAUUGACGGUACUUAAUCAGAAAGCCACGGCUAACUACGUG